rnacentral:lncRNA from 1 species
ACAUAUGGCAAUCUUCCAUCUAGUCACAUUAAUAAAUUGAUUGGUUGGUGCGAGUUGUAUAACAGCACCAAAUUGAUUGUAAUUAAAAUUAAAAAGAAUAUGAUUACCUUAAAUAAAAAAGAAAAAAAGGAAAAAGGAAAAGACUAACCUUUAAGAGUAGUCCCAAAUAUAAUGAAAAAAGAUUUAUGCCUUUGGUACUUUCUUCUCUCGUUGCAAUUCACAGUGUUGACACAUUUUUUUCCCUGAAAAGUACUGCAAGUUAGUAGAUUUAUCACUAAUCAGAUUUAAUAGGAAACGUUGACAGCUUGAAUUUAAGAUUUUCUUUAAUUUAAUUUGGAAUGCUAUGAACAAAACAUAAUUAGACAUGUCAAUGCACCACAAAUCAAAUUUCCAAGUCAUUUGGACAACUCUACAUUUGCUUCUCACAUGAUAAAACUAUAUAAGUUAAAAUUGCAUAUGAAACUGUAAAAGUAGCAGCAGGUGUUUGAAUAUAUAUUAAAUUUAAAAUACUAAAUAUAUCAUAAUGAUACUUUCCACAUUUUAAGUGGACAUAUAAGUCAACAACAUAUUAAAAUUUGAGGCUAUUCUGAUAUCAUUAGGCUGGUGUUUGAUAGGAUCAAACAUUAAUGAACAAUUCUGUCAAAAUUGCAUAUGAAACUGUAAAAGUAGCAGCAGGUGUUUGAAUAUAUAUUAAAUUUAAAAUACUAAAUAUAUCAGAAUGAUACUUUCCAGAUUUUAAGUGGACAUAUAAGUCAACAACAUAUUAAAAUUUGAGGCUAUUCCGAUAUCAUUAGGCUGGUGUUUGAUAGGAUCAAAGAUUAAUGAACAGUUCUGUCAAAAUUGCAUAUGAAACUGUAAAAGUAGCAGCAGGUGUUUGAAUAUAUAUUAAAUUUAAAAUACUAAAUAUAUCAGAAUGAUACUUUCCAGAUUUUAAGUGGACAUAUAAGUCAACAACAUAUUAAAAUUUGAGGCUAUUCCGAUAUCAUUAGACUGGUGUUUGAUAGGAUCAAAAAUUAAUGAACAGUUCUGUCAAAAGAAGUUACUGCAGAGACAUCAGAGUUUGAAAAAUUAUUAAAAAUAAAUUACAAGUUCAAUCAAAAUAAAAUUUUCCAGAUUUGAAGUAUGCAAAUAGAAGUGUAGUUUAUCCGAAUUUCAGCUUAUUCUAACUCUGUUAGACUAUAGUUUGCAAUAUCAAACAUGGUACAUAUGUAAUUUCUAAUAAAAUUGGACAACAACCAACCAUAUUGAGAAAUCCAUUCAAAAUAAAAUAUAAACCCAAUUCAUUCCAAAAUUUCCAGAAUUAAAAUGUUCUCAUUUAAACUUAGUUUAAUCAAACUUUCAAAUCAAUUGAAAGUCAUUUAGUCAAGUUCGGAAACAACCAAGUUCACAACAACAGUCUAUCAAUCCUCAAAUUUUCAGCAUAAUUUCGUGAGGGAGAAUGGAGAUUUUUACUUAAGAAAAUUUUAGGUUUGGGUUUUCAUACACACCAUUAAACGAAAUAUAGUACAUACUAAACACAUGAUUGUCGAUUGCCAUUAUUCUUUUAAUUAACAAAUUGCAUUCAACCUAAAUCCAUAAUCACCGAUUGUAAUCAUUCUUUCACUUAAUAAACUGAAUUCCACCUAUAAUAAAGCUGCGUUUUAUUUAUUUUAUUAAACAAUAAAUUAGAUUAUAAGCAACAAAAACCCUAGAUGGCUAGAUUUCCAAACAAGUGCAAGCUCUCAUUUGCACUCAAUAAACAUCAAUCAAUUAAUAGAUAAAUACUUAAACAAUGAGAAUAGAGAAUGAGACAAAGAGUUACCACAACACUGAUUCGGACUUUCAAACCUUAGCUUUGCCCAAAUUCUUCACAGCACUUUCUGGGUUCUUUUCAGGGAUAUUUUAGCUUAAGGACGACGGGUUUCAAGGUUUUGACAAAGGCGGCUUUCAAGGUAGAUCAUUGUUAGAGAGAGAAAGAGAGCGAGAGAGAGGGAAGGAGAGAGAAGGAAGAAAGCUUCGGCGGCCGUGAG